GGAUGACAAGACCAGGGGUCUCCUGACUAACACGGGCCUAAUUUUCAUAGGGUGCAGUGGUGGCCUUCAUCUGCACAGCAGGGGGUCCUCCUCCAAAGACAGCUCCAGGACAUGGGUCCAGAGCAUCACAGCCCAAAAUUUUCCCUAUAUUCAUCUUCAAAAGUCUCCCUCAGAUAAAUUGACUGGAAAACCUGGGAAACAUUCAAUAGAACAGGUAAUCCUCCCUAGUCAAAGAAGCUAACUGACACUUGGCUUGAGGAAGGGGGUAAGUGAAGCAGCCCAGCAGGGGUCUCCCUCCCAAGCUAGAUCUUAGCCAUUGUGGUGGGUGUGGGAAGGGAUCUG
rnacentral:lncRNA from 1 species